UACAAUGGAGUACUAUUCAGCCACAAAAAGAAAUGAGAUUGUGUCAUUUGCAACAACAUGGAUGAAAAUGGAGGACAUAAUGUUAAGUGAACUAAAGAAGGCACAGAAAGAUAAAUACUGC